rnacentral:rRNA from 1 species
UGGGGAAUCUUGGACAAUGGGCGCAAGCCUGAUCCAGCCAUGCCGCGUGAGUGAAGAAGGCCUUAGGGUUGUAAAACUCUUUCGCCGGAGAAGAUAAUGACGGUAUCCGGAGAAGAAGCCCCGGCUAACUUCGUGCCAGCAGCCGCGGUAAUACGAAGGGGGCUAGCGUUGUUCGGAAUUACUGGGCGUAAAGCGCACGUAGGCGGGUUUGUAAGUAGAGGGUGAAAUCCCAGGGCUCAACCCUGGAACUGCCUUCUAGACUGCAAGCCUGGAGGUCAGGAGAGGCGAGUGGAAUACCGAGUGUAGAGGUGAAAUUCGUAGAUAUUCGGUGGAACACCAGUGGCGAAGGCGACUCGCUGGACUGAUACUGACGCUGAGGUGCGAAAGCGUGGGGAGCAAACA